rnacentral:rRNA from 1 species
GUAUAGAGGGUGAAUUCUGCCCAAUGGUUGUAUAGUGAAACUGAGGAUUAAUAUCUAAAGCGAAACCCAACUGAAUGGCCGCGGUAACUCUGACCGUGAUAAUGUAGCACAAUAAAUAGCCAAUUAAUUGUUGGCGGGUAUGAAUGGAACCACGAGGGUCUUACUGUCUCAAGAGGAAAGCCGAUGAAAUUAUAGUUGUAGUGAAGAUACUACAUAAACAUUGUAAGACGAAAAGACCCUAUCGAGCUUUACUGGAUACCGAUAACGUUAACUUAAAAUGAUCGAUACUAAGUAUCCUAAUUUUGAGUUAAUAAUUUUUGUUGGUAGGACAGUUUAGUUGGGGCGACUACCUUUGAAUAAGAAACGAAGGCGAGCUUAUGGUAUACAAAGCUAAUCACAUUAGCCUGACAGUGAGGGGGACACCCCUAGCUGGCACAAGGACAACGUCCUAUGUGGGCGAUAAUGACCCGAUAUGAUUGUCCAAAAUAAAUAUCGAAAGCGAAUAAAAGCUACCGUAGGGAUAACAGCGUAAUAUUGUCGGAGAGUUCUUAUCGAGGACAGUGUUUGCGACCUCGAUGUUGAAUUGCGGUGCCCUGGUGCUGUAGAAGGUACCUUAGGUUGGUC